UUAAGGAAAGUGAUUAUUACCCGACUUUAAGCUGGCUACAAUCACAUGUGUAUAACUACGAGUAUUCUAUUCCGAUUGUGCAUGGUAUGUCUCAUGGAGCUGGGGAUUUUUCUGAGUGUUUUUAUUUUGCUUGCCCUGGGACAGUGUUAGUGCCUUAAAGAGUUGCACCUUUGGCCACUCCAAGCCAGAAGAAAUCCAGUGCAGAGGGCCAGUGGGAAGGUGGAAAGGACUGGAGUACGUACAGUCAAGUAGAGUGGCUGCCAGUGGAGUGGACUGGAUUGUUGUGCUGCUGUGUUCUGGUUUUAUUUUCACUUUUUUCGUAUACUUCGGACACUGCUGCCGGAUUACUGAGCACAUGCUUAGACCCUAUUUAUGGACUCUUAAAACUGCAGCAGCCGCAGUGGCAGCCACAAGAAGCCAUCGCCACGGCCACGGUCAAUUGAUGUCUGGAUUCUUCGUCCUGUGUCCAUUGUCCGGCGUCCUUUGUGCGGCCAAAUACAGAUACCUUGCCAUGGUAACAGCAACAAAACAUCAAUAUUACUUCGUUUUUGAUUUGGCAAUCAGGUGUUGUGGAGCUUCCUGCUGACCAAGUUAAUGUAAGAAGCAAAAGCUCACUUUAUGAGCAACUGCCUCUCUCAAUGGGAUCCUGAAUUUACAGCUUAAUAAACUGGCUUUUAUAUACAUCUUUUUAUACCAGUUACUUGUAGAGUAAAAGAGUAUACUAAAUUCUAUGAAAAGUAAGUAACGGGCUGAAUGAUGCGUUUCCGACUAUAUAAAGUAUUGUAUAUGAAUUCUUGAUGAGGAUCAAUAGUCGAGUCGAUCUAGCCAUGUCCGUCUGUGCGUCUAUCCGUAUUUUCGUCCAAAUUUGAGGACGUAGGGCAAGUUUGUUGACACAUAUU
ensembl:ncRNA lncRNA:CR45464 long non-coding RNA:CR45464